rnacentral:rRNA from 1 species
GUCGAGAAUUUUUCUCAAUGGGCGAAAGCCUGAAGGAGCGACGCCGCGUGGAGGAUGAAGGUCUUCGGAUUGUAAACUCCUGUCAUCGGCGAACAAAUUCACUGUCAAAAUAUGAUAUGUGAUCUGAUAGUAGUCGAAGAGGAAGAGACGGCUAACUCUGUGCCAGCAGCCGCGGUAAUACAGAGGUCUCAAGCGUUGUUCGGAUUUAUUGGGCGUAAAGGGUGCGUAGGCGGCAUGGUAAGUUGGAUGUGAAAGGUUGAGGCUUAACCUCAACAUUGCAUUCAAUACUGCCCUGCUUGAGCACUAGAGAAGAGGCUGGAAUUUACGGUGUAGCAGUGAAAUGCGUAGAUAUCGUAAGGAACGCCAGUGGCGAAAGCGAGCCUCUAGAUAGUUGCUGACGCUGAGGCACGAAAGCCAGGGGAGCAAACGGGAUUAGAUACCCCUGUAGUCC